UAGGGAAGCAGUAGAGGGGCCAGGUAGCAGAAAAGGGAGACCCUCAGCCAUCUUGAGACAAGAGCCACUCCCAAGAAAGAGACGGUAAUCUAGUCCCUGAUGAUCCCUUCGCCUUCAGGGAUAUACCUGGACUAUAGUCAGAGGAUGGUGGCAGGUAUAAGGACUGGGGAUCACCCUGUCACACCCACAUCCAGACCCUGCGAGGUCCUGCUGACUGGGGUCUUUCUGUUUUGGAAACUAGGAACCCAUACUGCAGCCCUGCUCUCACUCCCCCAUCUGCCUGCCCCAUGGACUCCGUUCUGCAUUGACCCCUGUGAUUCUGAUCCCAAGGAACUCCAUCUAGAGGAAUGGCAAUCCAGCAGCCAAAGAAAAUAAUGAUGACUCCAUUUCAUUUGUUU
rnacentral:lncRNA from 1 species